rnacentral:rRNA from 1 species
GACGAACGCUGGCGGCGUGCUUAACACAUGCAAGUCGAACGAAGAGCGAUGGAAGCUUUCUUCUAUCAAUCUUAGUGGCGCACGGGUGAGUAACGCGUAAUCAACCUGCCCUUCAGAGGGGGACAACAGUUGGAAACGACUGCUAAUACCGCAUACUCUCUAACCUCGGCAUCGAGGAUGGAUGAAAGGUGGCCUCUAUUUAUAAGCUAUCACUGAAGGAGGGGAUUGCGUCUGAUUAGCUAGUUGGCGGGGUAACGGCCCACCAAGGCGAUGAUCAGUAGCAGGUCUGAGAGGAUGAACGGCCACAUUGGGAGUGAGACACGGCACAGACGCAUACGGGAGGCAGCAGUGGGGAAUCGUGAGCAAUGGACGAAAGACUGACGGAGCAACGCCGCGUGAGUGAUGACGGACUUCGGGUGGUAAAGGUCUGUUAAUCGGGACGAAAGGCCUUCUUGCGAAGAGUUAGAAGGAUUGACGGUACCGGAAUAGAAAGCCACGGCUAACUACGUG